AUUGAACGCUGGCGGCAGGCCUAACACAUGCAAGUCGAGCGGAUGAAGGGAGCUUGCUCCUGGAUUCAGCGGCGGACGGGUGAGUAAUGCCUAGGAAUCUGCCUGGUAGUGGGGGAUAACGUCCGGAAACGGGCGCUAAUACCGCAUACGUCCUGAGGGAGAAAGUGGGGGAUCUUCGGACCUCACGCUAUCAGAUGAGCCUAGGUCGGAUUAGCUAGUUGGUGGGGUAAAGGCCUACCAAGGCGACGAUCCGUAACUGGUCUGAGAGGAUGAUCAGUCACACUGGAACUGAGAAACGGUCAAGACUCCUACGGGAGGCAGAAGUGGGGAAUAUUGGAAAAUGGGCGAAAGCCUGAUCCUGCCAUGCCGCGUGUGUGAAGAAGGUCUUCGGAUUGUAAAGCACUUUAAGUUGGGAGGAAGGGCAGUAAGUUAAUACCUUGCUGUUUGGACGUUACCAACAGAAUAAGCACCGGCUAACUUCGU
rnacentral:rRNA from 1 species